CACGUAGGGGGCGAGCGUUGUCCGGAUUUAUUGGGCGUAAAGGGCUCGUAGGCGGCUCAGUAAGUCGGGUGUGAAACCUCCAGGCUCAACCUGGAGACGCCACUCGAUACUGCUGUGGCUAGAGUCCGGUAGGGGAGCAUGGAAUUCCUGGUGUAGCGGUGGAAUGCGCAGAUAUCAGGAGGAACACCAACGGCGAAGGCAGCUCGCUGGGACGGUACUGACACUGAGGCGCGAAAGCGUGGGGAGCAAACAGG
rnacentral:rRNA from 1 species